AAGCUCGUAGUUGAAUUUCGGGGUUAGUAGGUUGGUCAUGCCUCUGGUAUGUACUGGUCUCACUGAUUCCUCCUUCCUUAUGAACCGUAAUGCCAUUAAUUUGGUGUUGCGGGGAAUUUGGACUGUUACUUUGAAAAAAUUAGAGUGUUUAAAGCAAGCUAACGCUUGAAUACAUUAGCAUGGAAUAAUGAAAUAGGACGUUCGAUCUUAUUUUGUUGGUUUCUAGGAUUGACGUAAUGAUUAAUAGGAUGUGNNGNGGCGG
rnacentral:rRNA from 1 species